GAUGAACGCUGGCGGCGUGCCUAAUACAUGCAAGUCGAGCGAAUGGAUUAAGAGCUUGCUCUUAUGAAGUUAGCGGCGGACGGGUGAGUAACACGUGGGUAACCUGCCCAUAAGACUGGGAUAACUCCGGGAAACCGGGGCUAAUACCGGAUAACAUUUUGAACCGCAUGGUUCGAAAUUGAAAGGCGGCUUCGGCUGUCACUUAUGGAUGGACCCGCGUCGCAUUAGCUAGUUGGUGAGGUAACGGCUCACCAAGGCAACGAUGCGUAGCCGACCUGAGAGGGUGAUCGGCCACACUGGGACUGAGACACGGCCCAGACUCCUGCGGGAGGCAGCAGUAGGGAAUCUUCCGCAAUGGACGAAAGUCUGACGGAGCAACGCCGCGUGGGUGAUGAAGGCUUUCGGGUCGUAAAACUCUGUUGUUAGGGAAGAACAAGUGCUAGUUGAAUAAGCUGGCACCUUGACGGUACCUAACCAGAAAGCCACGGCUAACUACGUGCCAGCAGCCGCAGUAA
rnacentral:rRNA from 1 species